AGCAUUGCUUCUGACUGAGGAGGACGAAAUGGUUUUCUUUACCCCGUCUUGGAACACGGACCAAGGAGUCUAACAUAUGUGCGAGUAUAGGAGUGUCAAACUCCCAUGCGCAAUGAAAGUGACAGUGGUUGGACCUUUGGGCACAAUCCGCCGGCCUCAAUCCUUCGGGAGAACGGUCUGAGUGUGAGCAGUGCCGUGAGUGAGAAGCUUGCGGCUGAUUAGCUUGUUGGUGAGGUAAUGGCUCACCAAGGCGACGAUCAGUAUCUGGUUUGAGAGGACGAUCAGACACACUGGAACUGAGACACGGUCCAGACUCCUACGGGAGGCAGCAGUAGGGAAUUUUCCGCAAUGGGCGAAAGCCUGACGGAGCAAUCUCGCGUGAGGGAUGACGGCCUAUGGGUUGUAAACCUUCUUUUCAGGGAGGAAUAACUGACGUGUACCUGAAGAAUAAGCAUCGGCUAACUCCGUGCCAGCAGCCGCGGUAAGACGGAGGAUGCAAGUGUUAUCCGGAAUCACUGGGCGUAAAGCGUCUGUAGGUGGUUUAAUAAGUCAACUGUUAAAUCUUAAAGCUUAACUUUGAAAUCGCAGUCGAAACUAUUAGACUAGAGUAUAGUAGGGGUAAAGGGAAUUUCCAGUGGAGCGGUGAAAUGCGUAGAGAUUGGAAAGAACACCGAUGGCGAAGGCACUUUACUGGGCUAUUACUAACACUCAGAGACGAAAGCUAGGGUAGCAAAUGGGAUUAGAUACCCCAGUAGUCCUAGCCGUAAACAAUGGAUACUAGAUGUUGAACAGAUCGACCUGUGCAGUAUCAAAGCUAACGCGUUAAGUAUCCCGCCUGGGAAGUAUGCUCGCAAGAGUGAAACUCAAAGGAAUUGACUGGGGCGAGCUAUUCUUCAGGUGCACGUCAGUUAUUCCUCCCUGAAAAAAGAGGUUUACAACCCAUAGGCCGUCAUCCCUCACGCGAGAUUGCUCCGUCAGGCUUUCGCCCAUUGCGGAAAAUUCCCUACUGCUGCCUCCCGUAGGAGUCUGGACCGUGUCUCAGUUCCAGUGUGUCUGAUCGUCCUCUCAAACCAGAUACUGAUCGUCGCCUUGGUGAGCCAUUACCU
rnacentral:rRNA from 1 species